GAUUUCUGGUACGAUGCCCCUGAUCCGCGCUCUUCGGAGUGUGUGUGUUGGUGUGGCGUCUGCCAUCUUUGUAGAUAUUGCCUUGGGGCCUUUACUGGCUUCGAGUGUCUUUUUUCUACAUCUUUUACUUUGAAAAAAUUAGAGUGUUUAAAGCAGGCUUUUGCUAUGAAUACAUUAGCAUGGAAUAAUAAUAUAGGACUUCGGUUCUAUUUUGUUGGUUUCUAGUACUGAAGUAAUGAUUGAUAGGGAUAGUUGGGGGUGCUAGUAUUCAGCGGCCAGAGGUGAAAUUCUUGGAUUCGCUGA
rnacentral:rRNA from 1 species